GACGGAGGGUGCAAGCGUUGCUCGGAAUCACUGGGCGUAAAGGGUGCGUACGGCGGUCUCGCAAGUCUGGCGUGAAAGCCCAAGGCUCAGCCUUGGAAGUGCGCUCGAAACGGCGAGGCUGGAGUGCCGGAGGGGAGAGUGGAAUUCCCGGUGUAGCGGUGAAAUGCGCAGAUAUCAGGAGGAACACCGAUGGCGAAGGCAGC
rnacentral:rRNA from 1 species